GGUUUAGAUUUUAGGAUUGGGGUUUAUGGUUUAGUGUUUUAGAUUUAGGAUUUAUGUUUUUAGAGUUUAGGUUUUUAUAAUUUAGAAUUUUGCAGAUGGCGCUAAUUAAUGUCGGUCUUGUUUUUUUUUCAGCUAUUUAAUUUUUUAUUUUUAUUACCUUUUUAAGAUAUUCCUACAUGGCAUUUUGGUUGGUUAUGAAGAGUGUGGUGAAUUUAACCAUUCACCAUAGGGGUGAACCUAAGUAUUGGUCAUGGAAAUUUGCUUUUCACGCUGAUGUGUUUUUUAAAUGACUCUUCUACCUCUAUUCUUUUUAUAAUACAACCUAAAAAUGAACUCCUUUCUAUCUCAUUUCUUCACUCUCCUCUCUUUAAUCCUUCUACCAUGUCGAGAGAUCUCACCUCUCUUGUCUUAUCUCUUUCUUCAGAGUUUCUUAACUCUUAUAUGUCUCUUGAUCUCUCCUCUCUUCUUCUCUUCAGAUUUAUCACCUUCUCUUCUUGGCUAUCAUCAUCUCAUCGUCACAUCGUCACGCCAUCACACCAUUACGUCUGCUCAAGCUCGCUCUCACGCAGUUACCUCACCUCUGCUCAAGCUCACCAUCACGCCAUCACCUCACAUAUGUAGUAAUGUCAAAUGGGCGGGCUAUAAAUGGGUAGCCCGUGUCCAAAUAGAUAUGGUCCGAAAUGGACAGAUCCAUAUUGAACCAUAAAUAUUUUUUGUCCAAAUGGGUGAGCCCAACUACGUACAUGGCCAAAUUUGGGUUUAACCAGUUGGACAAUGGGCGGCCCAAUAAGCUUAAAUGUCUAGGGUUAGGAAAUUGGGGGAAAACACGAUUUCCUUUUUUUUUUUCCGUCUCCUGCGAUUCUUCUUCUUCUCCUGCGAUUCUUCUUCUCCUUCUUCGAUUUUCCUUCUCCUUCUUCGAUUCUUCUUCACUUUUCUUCGGUUCUUCUUCGCUCUUCUUCGAUUCUUCUUCGUUGUCUCUGAUUUCGUCAUCUCUCGAGGUUUGAUUUUGUCAUCUUUGAACUGUUUAUGUGUGAUUUGUGUUAUGGGUUUUCACUAUUAGCUACUGAUUUGAUGGAUUAGUGAUUUGUGUUAUGUGUUAGACUCAGAUAGAUCGGUGAAAGUGAAAACAAAUGCUGGACUAGGAGAUCUGACAGCAGGAACAAAUGCUGGAACGAGUUCAUAAAGGCUGAAUGCUCGUGUGGUCUUCUGCAUAAGUAAAAGACAGAAGAAUUCUUUAAUGCACGUAAGCUGGUUAUGGAGAAACCAGUGUGGUUUUAUAUCUAGUGAAAAUGAGUCUUAUCAAACCAGGGUAGGCAAUACAUGUGUUUGCUUUUGCUCUUGGCUCAUGUUAAUGAUUGAGUUUAGCCUUUAGUAGAUCAUGUCAAUUUUUUUUCUCUUUGUUUGGUUAGGUGGUGGAAAAUCAUCUAGUUUGAAGCUCCUAUUGUUGUUGCUGUUGUUGCUGUUGCACCUCCCCUUCCCUAUUGCAUUUGAUUGACAAAUGACAACUUAUCUUUUGAAUUUA